rnacentral:rRNA from 1 species
CUAUCCUACGGGAGGCAGCAGUCGGGAUUAUUGCGCAAUGGAGGAAACUCUGACGCAGUGACGCCGCGUAUAGGAAGAAGGUCUUCGGAUUGUAAACUAUUGUCGUUAGGGAAGAAAAAGGACAGUACCUAAGGAGGAAGCUCCGGCUAACUACGUGCCAGCAGCCGCGGUAAUACGUAGGGAGCAAGCGUUAUCCGGAUUUAUUGGGUGUAAAGGGAGCGUAGACGGCGGUGCAAGUCAGAUGUGAAAGCCCGGGGCUCAACCCCGGGACUGCAUUUGGAACUGUGCUGCUAGAGUGUCGGAGA